rnacentral:rRNA from 1 species
UACAGAGGUCUCAAGCGUUGUUCGGAUUCAUUGGGCGUAAAGGGUGUGUAGGUGGCGCCGUAAAUCGGGUGUGAAAUUUCGGAGCUUAACUCCGAAACUGCAUUCGAUACUGCGGUGCUUGAGGACUGGAGAGGAGACUUGGAAUUCAUGGUGUAGCAGUGAAAUGCGUAGAGAUCAUGAGGAAGACCAGUGGCGAAGGCGGGUCUCUGGACAGUUCCUGGACA